AACAAACGCUGGCGGCGUGCCUAAUACAUGCAAGUCGAACGGGGAAAGCUUUCGGGUGAGUACUAGUGGCGCACGGGUGAGUAACGCGUGGAUAAUCUGCCUUGAAGAGGGGGAUAACCAGUCGAAAGAUUGGCUAAUACCGCAUAAGACCACAGGGACUGAGGUUCUAGGGGCCAAAGGUUUUUCGCUUCAAGAUGAGUCCGCGUAAGAUUAGCUAGUUGGUAGGGUAAUGGCCUACCAAGGCAACGAUCUUUAACUGGUCUGAGAGGAUGAUCAGUCACACUGGAACUGAGACACGGUCCAGACUCCUACGGGAGGCAGCAGUAGGGAAUAUUGCACAAUGGAGGAAACUCUGAUGCAGCGACGCCGCGUGAGUGAUGAAGGCCUUCGGGUCGUAAAGCUCUGUCGCAGGGGAAUAAGACAGUGAAUGUACCCUGUAAGAAAGGAUCGGCUAACUUCGUG
rnacentral:rRNA from 1 species